CAGAGGGGGCAAGCGUUGUUCGGAAUUACUGGGCGUAAAGGGCGCGUAGGCGGCCUGCUAAGUCGAGCGUGAAAUCCCUGGGCUCAACCCAGGAACUGCGUCCGAUACUGGUUGGCUUGAAUCCGGGAGAGGGAUGCGGAAUUCCAGGUGUAGCGGUGAAAUGCGUAGAUAUCUGGAGGAACACCGGUGGCGAAGGCGGCAUCCUGGACCGGCAUUGACGCUGAGGCGCGAAAGCCAGGGGAGCAAACGGGAUUAGAUACCCCGGUAGUCCUGGCCCUAAACGAUGAAUGCUUGGUGUGGCGGGUAUCGAUCCCUGCCGUGCCGAAGCUAACGCAUUAAGCAUUCCGCCUGGGGAGUACGGUCGCAAGGCUG
rnacentral:rRNA from 1 species